rnacentral:rRNA from 1 species
AUUGAACGCUGGCGGCAGGCCUAACACAUGCAAGUCGAACGAGUGGCGGACGGGUGAGUAAUGUCUGGGAAACUGCCUGAUGGAGGGGGAUAACUACUGGAAACGGUAGCUAAUACCGCAUACCAUCGGAUGUGCCCAGAUGGGAUUAGCUAGUAGGUGGGGUAACGGCUCACCUAGGCGACGAUCCCUAGCUGGUCUGAGAGGAAGACGAGCAACACGGGAACUGAGCCACUUGCCAGACUCCUACGGGAGACAGCAGUGGGGAAUAUUGCACAAUGGGCGCAAGCCUGAUGCAGCCAUGCCGCGUGAAUGAAGAAGGCCUUCGGGUUGUAAAGUACUUUCAGCGGGGAGGCGGUACCCGCAGAAGAAGCACCGGCUAACUCCGUGCCAGCAGCCGCGGUAAUAC